rfam:Schistosoma mattheei strain Denwood, Zambia genome assembly, scaffold: SMTD_scaffold0000585
AUCCAAAUGACGAGUCCCGAAUAAGACGAAACGCGCGCCAAACUGGAU